rnacentral:rRNA from 1 species
ACCCCACUGCUAUCGGGAUAGGACUAAGACAUGCUAGUCGAGCGCUUCAGCCAAAAAGAGGCGCGGCACACAGCUCAGUAACACGUGGCUAAUCUGCCCUUGGGACCAGAACACCCCCGGGAAACUGGGGCUAAUUCUCGAUAGGUGAAGAACUCUGGAAUGAGUCUUUGCCAAAAAGUUGUUAAGGUUAUGCUCUUUGACAACGCCCAAGGAUGAGGCCGCGACCGAUCAGGUUGUUGGUGAGGUAAUGGCUCACCAAGCCUUUUACCGGUGCGGGCCGUGAGAGCGGGAGCCCGGAGAUGGGCACUGAGACAAGGGCCCAGGCCCUACGGGGCGCAGCAGUCGCGAAAACUUUGCAAUAAGCGAAAGAUUGACAGGGCUAUCCCGAGUGCCAUCCGCUGAGGAAGGCUUUUACCCAGUCUAGAACGCUGGGGGAAUAAGGAGAGGGCAAGUCUGGUGUCAGCCGCCGCGGUAAUACCAGCUCUCCGAGUGGUGUGGAUGUUUAUUGGGCCUAAAGCAUCCGUAGCUGGCUAAGUUAGUCCCUUGUUAAAUCCACCGAAUUAAUCGUUGGAUCGCGGGGGAUACUGCUUGGCUAGGGGACGAGAGAGGCAGACGGUAUUUCCCGGGUAGGGGUGAAAUCCUAUAAUCCCGGGAAGACCACCAAUGGCGAAGGCUGUCUGCUACAACGCGCCCGACGGUGAGGGAUGAAAACUGGGGGAGCGAAUUGGGAUUAGAUACUCCGGUAGUCCCUUCUGUAAACGAUGCAAGCUACGUGUUUGUACGGGCACGUGUCGUUCUAGUGCCGCAAGAAAACUAUUAUUUCUGCCGCCCUGGGGAGUACGAUCUUUAGAUU